GCCUGGGUGGCUCAGUCGGUUGAGCAUCUGACUUCUGCUCAGGUCAUGAUCUCUCCAUCUGUGAGUUCAAGCCCCACAUCAGGCU
rnacentral:tRNA from 1 species